rnacentral:rRNA from 1 species
AGAGUUUGAUCCUGGCUCAGGACGAACGCUGGCGGCGUGCUUAACACAUGCAAGUCGAACGGUGAAGCCUUCGGGUGGAUCAGUGGCGAACGGGUGAGUAACACGUGAGCAACCUGCCUCUGACUCUGGGAUAACCCCCGGAAACGGGUGCUAAUACCGGAUAUGAUCUCCUGCCGCAUGGUGGGGGGUGGAAAGUUUUUCGGUCAGGGAUGGGCUCGCGGCCUAUCAGCUUGUUGGUGGGGUAAUGGCCUACCAAGGCGGUGACGGGUAGCCGGCCUGAGAGGGCGACCGGCCACACUGGGACUGAGACACGGCCCAGACUCCUACGGGAGGCAGCAGUGGGGAAUAUUGCGCAAUGGGCGAAAGCCUGACGCAGCGACGCCGCGUGGGGGAUGAAGGCCUUCGGGUUGUAAACCUCUUUCAGCAGGGAAGAAGCGAAAGUGACGGUACCUGCAGAAGAAGCACCGGCUAACUACGUGCCAGCAGCCGCGGUAAUACGUAGGGUGCAAGCGUUGUCCGGAAUUAUUGGGCGUAAAGAGCUCGUAGGCGGUUUGUCGCGUCUGCUGUGAAAACUUGGGGCUCAACUCCGGGCUUGCAGUGGGUACGGGCAGACUAGAGUGUGGUAGGGGAGACUGGAAUUCCUGGUGUAGCGGUGAAAUGCGCAGAUAUCAGGAGGAACACCGGUGGCGAAGGCGGGUCUCUGGGCCAUAACUGACGCUGAGGAGCGAAAGCGUGGGGAGCGAACAGGAUUAGAUACCCUGGUAGUCCACGCCGUAAACGUUGGGCGCUAGGUGUGGGGCUCUUUCCACGAGUUCCGUGCCACAGCUAACGCAUUAAGCGCCCCGCCUGGGGAGUACGGCCGCAAGGCUAAAACUCAAAGGAAUUGGCGGGGGCCCGCACAAGCGGCGGAGCAUGCGGAUUAAUUCGAUGCAACGCGAAGAACCUUACCAAGGCUUGACAUGGGUGGUAAUCCGGUAGAGAUGCCGGGUCCGUAAGGGCUACUCACAGGUGGUGCAUGGUUGUCGUCAGCUCGUGUCGUGAGAUGUUGGGUUAAGUCCCGCAACGAGCGCAACCCUCGUUCCAUGUUGCCAGCACGUUAUGGUGGGGACUCAUGGGAGACUGCCGGGGUCAACUCGGAGGAAGGUGGGGAUGACGUCAAAUCAUCAUGCCCCUUAUGUCUUGGGCUUCACGCAUGCUACAAUGGCCAGUACAAAGGGCUGCGAGACCGUGAGGUGGAGCGAAUCCCAAAAAGCUGGUCUCAGUUCGGAUAGGAGUCUGCAACUCGACUCUAUGAAGGCGGAAUCGCUAGUAAUCGCGGAUCAGCGUGCCGCGGUGAAUACGUUCCCGGGCCUUGUACACACCGCCCGUCACACCAUGAGAGCUAACUGUACCAGAAGUCGUUAGGCUAACCCUGAGUUCGCUUAGGGAGGCAGGCGCCUAAGGUAUGGUUGGUGAUUGGGGUGAAGUCGUAACAAGGUA